UGAGUUUUAUUAGAGGUUUAGAGUUGUACUGUUUUUUCAGUUGGGCAGGUUUUACAGGUUUAGUUUUACCCUGUGUUUGGACUGGAAAAUGUCAAAUCUGGCAACAGUGGCGAAUUGCGCCAUUUUUGUUAUUAAUAAGCGUGACGCGCAUGCGCCAUGUUAGAUAGAAAUAUGGCGCAACUUCUACUUAAGCGUUUAAAAAAAAAAGACGCUGCUAGCAUUUGGCCGUACGGAGACAUGAGGCUGUCGGUCUGAAAUUCAUGAACUUUGGGACCUGGAUUAAAAAUUAUAUUUCCUGAUCUCCCAAGACGCGGAAUCCGAUUGAAAUCAUGUCAGUGUUCGUCUGACACGAGGCCUAGUUUGGCGUCUUGUAUUUGACUUAGGAGCAGGCCGCGGGAGCGCCAUGUUUGAAAUCGCUGCGUUGGUUAUUCGAGCAGUACACAAGGGGAGACCCGACCAUGGACUUUCUGAGGAGAUAUAAUGGCAUCUGGAGCUAGCAGUUGAUCGAUUAUGGAUAUAUUACUAUCAAGCUGAGGACUCCCUACAAGGUGCAUGGCGGAUCCGCCCGACCCAUCAAAGGUUGAUUAGGUUAAGCAACUGUUCCAGUGGCGGAACAGAAGACAUCUCCAGGCAUCAAAUGGAGGAGGCCCACAGAUGCUUACCGGUACAAUGGCGAGCACAGUGUGAGUUUGAGUGUGCCUGAA